AAAUUGAAGAGUUUGAUCAUGGCUCAGAUUGAACGCUGGCGGCAGGCCUAACACAUGCAAGUCGAACGGUAACAGGAAUCAGCUUGCUGAUUCGCUGACGAGUGGCGGACGGGUGAGUAAUGUCUGGGAAACUGCCUGAUGGAGGGGGAUAACUACUGGAAACGGUAGCUAAUACCGCAUAACGUCGCAAGACCAAAGAGGGGGACCUUCGGGCCUCUUGCCAUCGGAUGUGCCCAGAUGGGAUUAGCUAGUAGGUGGGGUAACGGCUCACCUAGGCGACGAUCCCUAGCUGGUCUGAGAGGAUGACCAGCCACACUGGAACUGAGACACGGUCCAGACUCCUACGGGAGGCAGCAGUGGGGAAUAUUGCACAAUGGGCGCAAGCCUGAUGCAGCCAUGCCGCGUGUAUGAAGAAGGCCUUCGGGUUGUAAAGUACUUUCAGCGGGGAGGAAGGGAGUAAAGUUAAUACCUUUACUCAUUGACGUUACCCGCAGAAGAAGCACCGGCUAACUCCGUGCCAGCAGCCGCGGUAAUACGGAGGGUGCAAGCGUUAAUCGGAAUUACUGGGCGUAAAGCGCACGCAGGCGGUUUGUUAAGUCAGAUGUGAAAUCCCCGGGCUCAAC
rnacentral:rRNA from 1 species